rnacentral:rRNA from 1 species
UACAGAGGGUGCGAGCGUUGUCCGGAAUCACUGGGCGUAAAGGGCGCGUAGGCGGCUUGAUAAGUAGGGGGUGAAAUCUUGCGGCUCAACUGCAAGGCUGCCUCCUAAACUGUCAGGCUUGAGCACAGUAGAGGCAGGUGGAAUUCCCGGUGUAGCGGUGGAAUGCGUAGAGAUCGGGAAGAACAUCGGUGGCGAAGGCGGCCUGCUGGGCUGUUGCUGACGCUGAGGCGCGACAGCGUGGGGAGCAAACAGG